AAAAACCAUUAAAGUGAAGCGUACGGAUCUGAAGGGCACUGGUAACUAAACCCCAAACAUAACGAUUAUAGCUGUAUAUUUUUUUUAUUUUUUUGUUCCCAUGCGUCCUCCAAAGGUUUCUUUUUUAUAUAUAAAAGAUCCAACACAGAUUUCAUUGAAUAAAUCUGAGAUCUCCAGGUGCAGACGUUUGAAUAGUCAGUGCCAGAACCCCAUGUUUUCCUUUCCAGCCGAUUUUGCUUGGAUCAGGCUCAAAAACCGAGUGAGUCUCGUGGUUUUGUUUACACUGAAUGGGGAGGAUAGGAACGGUGCCAUGGGGCCGUCUUUCAUUAAUAUACAGUGAGGAUUUUGUCUAAAUUACUGCUAUGAAUUUCACAGUACACGCUUUCAAAAGCCGUCUCAGGUGGCCUGAUGAAACGUGAUAGCGCCUCUGCAAACAGAUCUACUUUCUUAAUAAAAAAGGAAGGGGGGGGGAAGAAAUCCCCCCCAAAUAAAAAAAAAAAAAGUACACCCUCAUAACAGCGACAACAAAAAAUAAAGCUCGAGCUGGAGUAAUGUCUUUUAUUUAAAAAAAAAAAAAACCACACAAACCCAACCAACUUAGUUCCCCAACUCUUCCCACCCCCUCCCUUGCAGAGUGUGAUUGUUUUGUCUGGAAAAAAAUCCAAAGUAUAACAAGGGGAGAACAGUUAGUGCUGAUUUUCAUUUGCAUAAAUUUUCAUAUAUUUUGGUGAAAAUAAUAGACUAGUGGAGAGCGGGGCUUAGUGGAGUCAGUGCAAAGGAAAAUCUUAACAUGGAUCGUUUCGCUGGAGUUGAGAACAUGCUUUUUCCCCCCUGUCACCUUAUUAAAAUCAAAAAUUAAAAAAAAAAUCUCUAAAUCCUGGAAGUAUGACCGGAGGCUGCCCCCGAUUUUAGUCCAAAGGAGCUGCUUUUGGGAACUGGGUGUCCGGCUCCGGUGUUUGCCUGCUGAGGAAGAGUUUGUACAGGUCCCGUAGACUCGAGUCACGCCGGUGGCGGGGUCCCACUCGCUGUGACACCUCCACUCGCCUGCCUUUGGCGGUGUCACCUCCCUCACCUCCCUCACCGCUUUAGACGGCGCCAGCCAACAGCAGCAUUUUGUGGCUCACUCUGUUCUCCAGUCUUGUUACGUGGAUUUCUCUCUCUCCGAGUAAUUUCUCAGCAUCCCCUUGAAUGGCAUCUACCACACAUAACUUUUCCAACCCACAAGGCUGAAGCAACUUCCCAUAGCUGAAAUGACUCCAGCACAGCUAUUCCCUAGAAGACAUCCUCCCUGAUUUCUUGUGGGGCCUGUAAGAUGACUGAAGUUCUAGGGAUGAGGUGACCAAAUUUGAAGACAGUAUUCAAAGUGAGGAUGUGCCACUGAUUUAUAUAAUAGCAUUAUAAUAUUUUCCAUAUUAUUCUCUAAAACUCUUUUCUUCAUACAAACCCCAUAAGAUUCUUUUUAAUUCUUUGAACUACGCUGCCUUUUAACAUCUGUAGUUUACUCUGAUCAGAUUUUGACAAAGGAAUAAAAGGCUCCAUUUUUCACAUAGAAUUUUAUUUAUUGUUUGAACUUUAGAGAAGAAAUUGGUUAACUCACAAUUUAAAAUUCUUGGCAAUGUAGACCAUUGGGCAAGGAUUUCAUUAUCAGCCCUUCUAUACCUUCUGUAGAAAUGUGUGAGGCUGAAAGUCGGUGUACAAGGUCUUGGCUCAGUAGACUUGUCUUUUCUUAUAUAAACACAGCCAAAGACUUAAUUUGGAGCUGCCAGCAUCCCCAAAGAUGUCAGAAAUGUUCACCGGUACCCCCUUCCUGACAAAACAUGCUGGGGCCAUGCAUUUAGAUGCCGUUUAACCAGGACCACGCACACGUGCGAGCGGUACCUGAGUUCCGUGGUCUUCUGUUUACUGUACCGCACACCACGCCAGGUCCGGGGAAGACCCCUUUGAAAAUGAGGCACUUGGUGAUUGCAGAGGGUGAGGAUCUCGCUCUCGUGUCACAGCUGGGCAUUAUGCCUUCGUCAGGGUAUUAGAAAAGGCUCAGGGAAAACAGUUACGUCUAUUCUAUUGCCUAAGACACUUCCUGCAGCUACUGCCUUUCCUUAGAGUUACCAAUCCAAGUGCUGACCCUGCCUGACCCUCCUUAUCUUGUAAAAGCUGACAAGAUCACAGCCUGAAGCAGUAUAGCCACAGGCUCAAUACUGGCUACCAAAAUGUCUGUUUAGUAUUUUCAAGAAACGCUGCUCUAAAGAUUUACAAUACCAGCUGCUAGAUAUAUGGACAACACCAACACAGAGCCCUGACCCCUGAACAUUCAGCCCCACUUACACAGAAAUUUGUGCCUCUCGAGGGGCCAACACCGAGCUGCCACAAAAUAGCGAUUCCCUGCCUGCAAGUGAGCUGGAAUUUAAGCAUCAUAUGGUUGCAUACACUCAGAUAUUGGGUAAAAGUAUUUGAAAACUACAGCCUUGAGUUCAGAAUUCAUUGUUAGCUUCUUUCAUCAGUUGCAUUACCACUUUAGCAAUAGAAAGAGCUCUGCCAUUUCUGUGUAAUAUAAAUAUAUAUUUUUUUAGUUUAGUAUAGAGAAUCGUCUUAAUUCUUCCAUGACCAAAGCAGUUUUUCAUCAGAAGUUAUUUUUAGAUGAACUGUAAGUUUCUUCCCUAGCAAACAUUUUAGCUCCACUGUGUGAAAGCAAAUGCACAUUCUCCCAGAUAUCUCUAAGGAUAAACACAGGUUUAAAUAUCCAAGAAAUAUUAAGAGACCGAUCUGGUUUAGUUGUAUAUACAUUCGUACACAACAUACAUUAAUAGUUCUUGCAGAGUGGUUUUUUGUUUUGUUUUGUUUUUUUCUUUUCUUUUUAGAACAGCAAAGACAUGGAAAAGGCAUUGAGGUCCUAUUGCUCCUGUCGGAAAUUUCUGCUGACUACAGCAUGAGUUGGAUUGGGCCCAGAGAAACCAAAUACACACAAGUAACAAUGAGUUGGCCAUACAAGCAAGGAAAAUCACAGAUAACAGGUGCACACAAAUUAGCAAUGUACCUUUUAGGUCAUCCAGUACAGCUCCCUGACACCGUGAGAUUGUUUCCUAUGGCAUAUUUUCGGUUGUUUUGUGUGCCUAGAUUAAAUGUCCUAAGUGAUGCCAUGUCCCUAGGGAGAGAUUGUGCUGCCUGGAGUAUCUUGUUGUCAGAAGUUUUUUUUCCUUUCUUAACAUCAUCAUAUUUCUCCUAGUUAUGUCCCUUCGCAGAUCUCCCUCUUUUCCUUCAUUGAUGCUAUUUUCCUCCACUAUUUUUUAACUAGCGUGAUAUUGUGUUUAUUUAGCAUUAAGCCAACCCAUAGCUAUUUAGCUCAUUUAAUCUUCCCUAACAAAUCCGUCCUUCCAGUCUCCUGGUUAUUCUUCCUCUCCUCUUGUCACACUCCUGCCUGUCAGUAUCUUUUUUAGUUAUGGGAUUUUGAAGAUGUGAUGCAUUUCGCUGGACUGAUGACAGAUCUGGUAUAGAGCUGAGCACCCUCAAUGUCUUCCCACUGAAAAACCAUCCUGAUGUGCUCGGGAGAAAGCUGCCAGGGUUCUGGACAGACACACAGGUAGACUAUCUUGCUCAAACCACUUCCUUGGUGCCACUUAUUCUAUUGGCCAACUAAACCCUAUUAAAACAGUUAACCUAGUAGUUCAAAAAACAAAUACAUGUCGUUACGGAUGUAUUUUAUUUCUCACAAUGUUAGGAGAGAAAGUAGCACAGAUAAAAAGGUCUUUGUUGCUGUUGUUGAGAUUUUCUGACUCUUGGUCGUGGACAACACAGUCUAAAAUUAUGGAAGACGUCAUCUUCCAUAACUGUGUCUGACUGUUAGGAGAGUACAUUGUAGAAAGUAAUUAUAUACAUAGUCAGAAGCCUAGCUGCUCACUUCAGGCAAUAAAUUUUGAUCAACAAACAGCACUCCUUUAGUGCUAAAUGAGAUCUUGGUUGUAAUUGAAUGUCUUUACCUUUGUGUUCUGUUGGAUUGGAGGAAUAUCAUCUUAAUCUGCUCUCUUUAAAUUUUCAUUAAGGAACGUUUCAGCUACCUGCAGCCUCAUCUGAUGAUGUUUAAUGAUAUCAGCUAGCUCGGUCUUCCGUGCACCAGCAGGGGCUUCUUUAAAUUGGUCAAAUGUACGGAACAUUGUUUUCAAAUUUAAUGUACUUGGAAUCAACCUUUUAAAAUAAUGGCAUCUCUAAAGUCAGUUUAUAUACAUAGUGCACACACAUGCAUGCAUUUAUACGUGCAUGUGUGUGUAUGCAUAUAUAUAUGUGCGUCAGUGCACACACGUACAGAAACGCUGAUCCUAUUCACCUUCUUGAAACCAUUUCAGCUAGUAUUAACAUAAAUGUGCUGUUAAAUUGGCAGUGUUAUACAUUUUUGUUGGAGUUUACUUCUGUAACAUAAAAUCGGAAAGAUAAGCUGUGAAACUCAUGCAGCUGAUGACAUAAUGCUAGGAUCUCGUGAUGCUGAAUCUCAUAUUUCUAGGAGUGUGGGAUGGAUGUUCCUUGCUGAAAUAAUUAUACUGCCUAUUGCAAUAUAUGUUUCCUUGUUUUCAUGUGGGCACUGAGAUGUCCAAACCAUUAAACGCAUAUGGUAUAAUAA